CCCUGUUCCCAAGGAUGGGGCAUCCACAGCCUGGGCCAGUGCCUCAGCAGCCUCAGUGGGAAAGAGCAGCUUCCUGAGAUCCAACCUCAAUCAGCCUCCUGCAGCUGAAAGCCAUCGCCCCUUGUGCUGUUGCCACAGGCCCUGUUGAACACUCUGAACACUCUGUCCCAGCCUUUCUUGUGGGACCCUUGCAGUCCUGCAUCAGGAACUGAGCGAUGGAAGCUUUAGGCCCAGGUUGAAAUGAAGCUUGGCACAAUAUCCCUUUUCUUCUCCAUUUGUGAAACACGGAACACAGUCUGGGCAAGCUGAUGUUGCAGAGGAAAAUCUGCAAAUGUACUGGUUAUCCUGAGCCUGGAGGAUGAAGUUAAAGCCAGCCAAAAGCAAUUUCUGGAAAGUCAA